GUACCUCUGUUUCUCCCCAAUUUCGUGGUACCCAAUUGGUAGUUAGUCUUGUCCCAUCGCUACAACUCUCGUACGGACUCCGGAAAGGCCAUCACGCACUGUCAAGAACAGUGCGUGAUCAGAGGUCUCGGCUGUUAAAUUGCGCUGUCGCUAUAUGCAAUUGCAUAUUCCCUCUCCGAUAGAAUUAAUUGAAAAAAGCAGCAAAGACGCUUAAUUCUGAACCCAAAGAAUUAGCUUCGGUGUGUUCGUUCCUGGUCGAAAUAAAUUGUUUGUGUUAUUCCCAAAGAAAAACGUCAUAGGUGAAAGAAAUCAUGCCUUUCGGUAACACCCACAAAAAGUUGAAGAUGAACUACUCCGCGGAGCAGGAGUACCCCGACCUGAGCCAGCAUAACAACCUGCGGGACAAGGAAACUCCAAGUGGAUUUACAGUGGAUGAUGUCAUUCAAACUGGGGUUGAUAACCCAGAGGAAGUGGGUGCGCUUGGACCCGACCUGGUGGCAGCAAUGGUUAAUCUAUCGCCUGCAAUGCAGGGCAGUCCCAAAACAGUACAUGGGAAGUUUAGGCAUAAACUGAAAAUGCCAAAAAUACCAGGCUUUGUGCGACGUCCACGGAGCCCCAAACCCAGAGUGGAGAGCAAUCCUCCUC